CAGCCUUUACGCUGGGAUGUAUCAUGUGAGGCAUUUUGAACCUAAAAGAAGCCCCAAAGAGAACCUCCUCUUGGAAUCUGAACAGGAUCUUACCUGGACUCCUGUCAUUUUAUCUGUGAGACAGAUCUUGCCCCAGAAAUACUUUUACCUUUUUCUGAUCAUGAAUUUCUUUCCAGUCUUUAACCUUCUUCAGCAACUUCAUGAUGAUCUUCGCAGAUAUUCUCAUUCUCAGAGAUGUACUAUCUUCUUCCAUAAGGAGCAUUAUGUAGGGGGCAGGCUUUAUUUGCCCACAGUGCCUUGUACUUACCAGUCAGUCCUGGCUGAAAAAGUUUGGUUACUAUAAGAUCAUCUUAAUUUCUUUCUAUCUAGAAGGAACAGCCUCCACUGUCAUGUUACUGCUGGGAAAGCAAUACUAUUACUGUUUGGGUCUUUAUCUCACUGUUAUCAUGGUUAUUGUGCAAGCUUCGGUUUCCUUGUUUACCCUGCCACUAGUUGACAUGGUUGAUGCAGAUUAAACUUCAGUAAUGAAGUUUAAUCAGCAGUCACCCCUUCCCUCAGUGGUUUUUGGCAUUAAUGCUUUGUUUACCAAAUCUGCCCAGUCUUUAGCACCCACGGUGAUACUCUCUAGGCUAAACCAGUAUGAAUAUGGAAACACAAAUAGCAGGUAAAGUUAAAAAAAAAGCUCUUGAAAUAUUGUAAAAGAAACAUGAAAGCAAACACAGCCUUUUAUGUUAAUUACUAAGCAAUUAUCUUGACCUUUGUGUAUUAUUAGUCACUAACUUGUAUCUUGAGUAAGGUAUAAUAAAAAGUAUUAAUAUCAAA